GUUAGAGUGCUAGAUUGUGAUUCUAGAUGACAUGGGUUCAAAUCCCAUUAUUCGCCUUUUAAUUGAAUCUUUUUAAUACAUUAAAUGGAUACCUCAACGUUAAUAAUAUAAAGAACGUUUGUAAAACGAAAUGUUAUAGCGAAUAAUUUUCGUCUAUACUUUUUCUAAUCAUAAAGGAGUUUUAAAAAAUUUAAACAAAUUUUGAUUGAAAAACAAUUGAAAUUUUUUCAAGCUAGUAAACUGAACCAUCUAAGUAACUAGACAAAAAAUCAACCGAGAGACUGUGAGUAGUGGCGAGCAAAAGCGGUAUAGAUUAUACUUAAAAGUUAAAAAUAAUAUGUUUAAGUACCACAAACCAUAGAAGGUAGCAUAAACUUAAAAGCAUGCAGUCCUGUAAAACAUAUUUUAAACUUUGAAGUUAUAAAGUAAGAUGACACAUGUCAUGUGUUAUCUAAAUAUUGGGGGACCACCCUCAAAGUCUAUAAAAUAUUAACGAUUGAUAGCGAAAAAGUACCGUAAGGGAAAGGUGAAAAAGAUCUGAAAAGAACUUGAAAUUUAAUGUUUAUAAUCCGUUGUAACUUAUUUUAAAAGUGACAGCGUUCCUUUUGCAUAAUGAAUCAAUGAGUUUAUAUCAAUGGCAAGCUUAAACAGUGAAAAGUGUAGGCUAAAAAAAACUAAGUUUUAAAUUGCGCUUAAAUAAUUAGUCUUUGAUAUAAGACCCGAAACUAAGUGAUCUAACCAUGAGCAGGCUGAAUUUAAAGCGUUACCGCUUAUUGAAGGGCCGAACUCGUGUAUGUCGAAAAAUACUGAGAUGACUUGUGGUUAGGGGUGAAAGGCCAAUCAAACUUAGAGAUAGCUGGUUUUCUGCGAAAUCUAUUUAAGUAGAGCGUUUAAAAUUCUUUAUUUUAAGGUAGAGCACUCGAUAAAUAAAGGGGACGUAAAGUUUUACUGCAUUUAAUGAAACUCCAAAUAUAAAAUUAAAAAGAUUUUAAACAGACAGACUAUGAGUGCUAAGAUUCAUAGUCAAAAGGGAAACAGCCCACAUUAUUUGUUAAGGCCCUCAAAAGUAAUUAAGUGAAAAAGAAAGUAAAAAAAUGUUAAUAGCUUAUAGGUAGGCUUGGAAGCAGCCAUCUUUUCAAGAAAGCGUAACAACUCAUUAGUUUAGCUUUUUAGCAUCGAAAAUGUAUAGGGACUAAAAUUACUUGCCGAAACAAUAAAUUUAAACCAGACUAAUUUAUAAAUUAGUCUGGUUUAAAUGGUAGCAGAACGUUUUGUAUUUUCGAGAAGAUUUAUAGUUAUAUAAAUUGAAAAAAUCAAAAAUGAAAAUAUUGAUAUGAGUAGCGAAAAACGGUUAAGUGAUAACAAACUGCGUCACCUUAAGUUCAAGGUUUAUAAGGAAAGGCUAAUCCUCCUUAAUGUUAAUCGGUCCCUAAGAUAACAACGAAAGUUCUAAUUGAUGGGUAAUAAUUUUUUAUUAUAUUUUAAAGUGACAAAAUACAAGCUUAAUUUUUAAUGAUUAUUAAGAGUUUUUAAGUAUUUUCAGGAAAUAGCUUAAAAUAAUACCGUACUCUAAACCGACACAGGUGAACAUAUUUAGUAAAUUAAGGUGCUUGAGUUAAUUGUAUUGAAGGAACUCGGCAAAAUGACUCCGUAACUUCGGGAUAAGGAGUAGCUUUUUUAGGUUUAAACCUAAAAAAGCUGUCACAAAAUCGAGGACAGCGACUGUUUAAUAAAAACACAGGUCUCUGCGAAUUUGAAAAAAGAAGUAUAGAGACUGACGCCUGCCCGGUGCUGCAAGCUUAAUAGAAGAAGUUUUGGCUUCGACUUUAACCCCCAGUAAACGGCGGCUGUAACUCUGACGGUCCAAAGGUAGCGAAAUUCCUUGGCAUUUAAUUGGUGUCCUGCAUGAAUGGCGUAACGACUGUCCUACUGUCUCCAACACAAUCUCAGUGAAAUUGAAAUGUCUGUGAAGAUGCAGACUACUUGCGGCUAGACGGAAAGACCCUGUGCACCUUUACUAUAGUUA
rnacentral:rRNA from 1 species